UUCACAGGAAGAAUCUCAAAUAUGGGAGGAAGUACACAUACCUUGGUUGUCUUGGAAAGAAAACAAAGUCAAAGUCAAAGUGCCCUGAUGGUAAGAAAGUUGAGGCUUCCUAGGGCCAAAGACCCUUCCAAUGCAAUGUGGUGGAAAGAAUGACCUAGAGAGGGUUGGCCAAAAGAAACACCUAGGGUCAUAAGGAGGAAUGUCACCAAGGGCCCAGAAUUCUGGCUCCAAGUUCUCUGAGGUCACAUUGUGAGUUAAUCCUCCGGCAUCCAAAGUUCCAUUUCUGAGGCCACAGGAUAACACGGCAGUUAUGCAGACAUCAGAGACAUUCAUGUAUCCAGGGACUGAGAAAAGAAAGAAAAGAGAACACUCAGCUCCCUUCCAGGUGCUCACAGUCGUCCGAUGGACGAGACAACACGCUGCACACAGUGGGACAAUGCUGUGAUGGAAACGGGCAGGAGAGCUCAGGCUCACACGUCACUAUAUUCGCCUCACACUCCAUCUAACCAAACUGAGCUGUUUCAUCAGUGCUUGAGCUCAAGAGUUGGCAAACUAAGCCUGGAGGUCAAGUCCAGCAUGCUGACAGUUUCAUAUGGCCCGUGAAACUUACGACAGUAACAAUCCCUUCUCCAUCCUGGAUGUCAUCCUCUAUAUCUGAUGACUGGAACUGCUGCAGCUAUCUUGGGAUCAUGAAGGCAAUCAGUGUUAGAGGACAAGUCAGCAUGCUGAGGAUGGCCGAGCAGAAAGAGGGAACGAACCUGGGCCUUGGGAGAGAUCAUUAAACCAGUAAACUAACCUAGA